rnacentral:rRNA from 1 species
CACGUAGGGGGCAAGCGUUGUCCGGAUUCAUUGGGCGUAAAGAGCUCGUAGGCGGCUCAGUAAGUCGGGUGUGAAACCCUCAGGCUCAACCUGGGGACGCCACUCGAUACUGCUGUGGCUAGAGUCCAGUAGGGGAGUGUGGAAUUCCCGGUGUAGCGGUGAAAUGCGCAGAUAUCAGGAGGAGCACCGGUGGCGAAGGCGGGUCUCUGGGCCGAUACUGACGCUGAGGAGCGAAAGCGUGGGGAGCGAACAGG